rnacentral:rRNA from 1 species
UACGUAGGGUGCAAGCGUUGUCCGGAAUUAUUGGGCGUAAAGAGCUCGUAGGCGGCUUGUCGCGUCGACUGUGAAAACCCGAGGCUCAACUUCGGGCUUGCAGUCGAUACGGGCAGGCUAGAGUUCGGUAGGGGAGACUGGAAUUCCUGGUGUAGCGGUGAAAUGCGCAGAUAUCAGGAGGAACACCGAUGGCGAAGGCAGGUCUCUGGGCCGAUACUGACGCUGAGGAGCGAAAGCGUGGGGAGCAAACAGG